rnacentral:rRNA from 1 species
AUUGAACGCUGGCGGCAUGCCUAACACAUGCAAGUCGAGCGAGUGGCGGACGGGUGAGUAAUGUCUGGGGAUCUGCCCGAUAGAGGGGGAUAACUACUGGAAACGGUGGCUAAUACCGCAUACUAUCGGAUGAACCCAUAUGGGAGUAGCUAGUAGGUGGGGUAAAGGGUCACCUAGGCGACGAUCCCUAGCUGGUCUGAGAGGAUGUCCAGCCACACUGGGAAUGAGACACGGCCCAGACUCCUACGGGAGGCAGCAGUGGGGAAUAUUGCACAAUGGGCGCAAGCCGGAUGCAGCCAUGCCGCGUGUAUGAAGAGGGCCUUAGGGUUGUAAAGUACUUUCAGCGGGGAGGCGUUACCCGCAGAAGAAGCACCGGCUAACUCCGUGCCAGCAGCCGCGGUAAUUC